UACAGAGGUCUCAAGCGUUAAUCGGAAUUACUGGGCUUAAAGGGUCCGCAGGCGGUCUGACAAGUACCUUGUGAAAUAUCAGGUCUCAACCUUGAAACUGCUCGGUAGACUGUCAGACUUGAGUGCAAAAGGGGUCGCUGGAACUCUAGGUGGAGCGGUGAAAUGCGUAGAUAUCUAGAGGAACGCCAAAGGUGAAGACAGGCGACUGGUUUGCAACUGACGCUCAUGGACGAAAGCGUGGGGAUCAAACGGG
rnacentral:rRNA from 1 species